ensembl:lncRNA
AGAGAACAGUGGUCCGCUUUUAUUUGUUGGAGCUGAAAUGAUGCAGAGACUCAGACCUCAGCUCAGCGCGAGGAGGGACCACAGCUGGGGCCUGGGGGUGGGCUGCUGGUCGGCUGUGGCCGGGGGCACGCGGUGAGCCGGGACCCUCCCCGGGCUCUGGACAGGCAGAGGGGGCCGCUCCCUGGAGCCGUGGACACCCCCGCCCCCACCAGAGGACACUCUCUUCCCUCUGCCGGCUUAGGUCAAGCCUGCAGCAGCCCCCCCAGAGGCCACCCUCCAGGCAGGACACCGAGCUGACGGUGGACCCACAGACCAGCACCCGCGUCAUCCUGAGAUGCGGCGGAUUCACACACAGCGCGAACACCUCACACCUCACCGUCUGGAAGAGUCUCUGGGCACCCAGAUUCCUAUUCAAGACGCAUACAGGAGAAACCGAGAGGGUUAUGAUAAAAUAAUGCAGAUCUGAGCAUGGACAUUCUCAGGGGUGACCCCAGGAUGAAACACAAAGCGCUCACGUAGAGUAACCAGAGCCUCACUUGCUCUCACGUAGUAAGAGGUUUGGAAGGCGAAAAAUGACACAUUUCAGAAAGUAGAGAGCUCGGCAAAGCAGCGGCGCAGGCGGCCUUGAGCAUUCAAACAGCAAGCGUGUAGUCCACCUGUCAAAGCCGCACCCGAGCAACCUGGGCUCCCGGGUAAUGGGGGUGUGCACAGGGACACUGGAGGUGCCUCCAGGACGUCAGCCACGACGACCACCAAGACUGGCCGGCAGAGCCCAGGGCACGCCUGGGAGAGCCUGGGAGGGACCACCGCUUCGGUGCAGGGGAAGCCGGCAGAUGAGCUGAUAUGAGCCCUCUCUUUUUAAAAGAGCAAAUCCUGUUGGUUUUCUCAUAGUUGGUUCCAGGUAACUCAAGAGGCAAGGGGCAGGAGGAGAAGGGGACGACAGAGGGUAAGAUGGCUGGAGGGCAUCACCAACUCGUGGGCAUGAGUGUGGGCGAGCUCCAGGAGCUGGUGAUGGACAGGGAGGCCUGGAGCGCUGCAGUUCAUGGGGUCACAGAGCUGGAUACGACUGAGCGACCGAACAACCACAGUAAUUCCAGACUUAAACUUGAAAAGACCUCGAGUGGUAACGGCUAUCAGGGUCUGUAACGCCGCCCUGAACUUUGAGGCUGCCAUUGGCCUGGAAACGGGUUACGGAGAGGAAAUCCUCAGGGUGCUGAGCUGCUGCCCACCCAGGCCAGCGUGAGCCAAGGUGGGACGGCAGCGCUGUCAUCCAUACCCAGCGGCCGCUCGCUGCGGCUGCCCGUGGGCUGGGGAGUGUUCAGCCCAUGCCCCGCAUCGUGACUGUCAGGGAAGCACGCGGCCCACCAUCCGCGAGGGGCCAGCCUGUCUGCAGGUCUCCACAGGAGACCCCGGGGGGUGGAGUGGGCCAGGCUCCCGCAAAGGGCAGGAGCUGAAUAACCGCCUCCUGUGGUCUCUGUUUGUGCAUUUCUGAGGUUCUUUUUAAAAGCGUGUGUACUCCACAGAGCUUAACUUGCCUGCUCAGAGCAGGGUCGGAUAUUAUCACAUCAAACCGUGAAGAUGUCCUCACUACUUCAGGAACAUUGACCCAGGAAGACUGCUUACUUUUCUUCCAUUAUUCCACUCAAGGGGGAAGGGAUAGUUAGGGACUUUGGGAAGGUCGUGUACACCCUGCUGUACCUAAAAUGGAUAACCAACUUAUUGGAUAGCACAGGGAACUCUGCCCAGUGCUACGUGCUGGCUGGGAUGGGAGGGGUUCAUGUGUAUGGGAGAAGGGACACAUGCCUAAGCAUGACUGAGGCCCCUCACUGCUCACGCGAAGCUACCGCAGCAGCCUUGAUCGGCUAUGCCCCAGCACAAAACGGCUUUGGUGUUAAAACCAGAAUAGAAUAAAGUAUAAGCUGUUUCAAAAACAAACAGAAAAAGGUUGUUUUGUGUAUGAAUUUAGCUAAUAUUGUUUGACCUAUAGGCUGUGGGUUUGGCUACAUUUUUAGGAUUUUUUCAACCCACGGGAACACCUUCUCAACAGCACCAAAGUGUACAUAAGCCCUUUUGAAUUUGAUGCUCAAUUUCAGCCUUGAUCAAUACCAUCAUAAUGAAGAUUAAACUGUGAUUUCAGUUCCUUAGGAAACGAGGGGAACAAUUUAUCAUAACCAGUCAGGUAGUCAAUAUAAACAAAACUUACUGGAGAAAGGUCAUCCCUAGCUCAUGCAAUACAAAUUUAAUUGAUUUACUUUGAUGAUUAAAAAAAUGAGUGGACAAUUUGUCAGAGUUAAAUAUUUAUGGUUCCAAUUUUAAAAUUCAAGCUCUCCUUUACGGAUUCUGAACCUAAGCAGAAACACAGCUACUGUUCUCUCAGAUGACACAAAAAUGGCCCGUGAGCCAGGAAAAUACCUGCUGCCUAGCGCUUUGAGUUUCAUGAUUUUAUCACUCUUUUUAAAUUUUAAACUUCAUUUGUACCUAUACAGGUUUUGGGGGUACUCAAAGAUACCUUCUGAAUAGUUUUACGCAUGAAUGAAGCAGGCACUUGGUAAAUAUUCUCGGAGAAGUGUUCAUGCGUCUCACUACGAUCAUGUAUUCUUUCUUUUCCCUGUUUCCCCUGAUCUUUGUUCUAUGUACCUUUGCUUCUUUGUUGCUGGGUAUUGAAUGGUUUAGGAUGUCUAUCUCCUUUGUGAAUUGUACCUUUUAUCAUUAAAAACAUUCAUCUUUGUUUCAUUUUUAAAAAUAAAUAAAUGAAACAGGCAACUUGGCACACCGCAGUUCAGCGCUAGGAUUCCCCAUUAAGGGGGGAGCUUGUGGAAUGCAGUUGCUGGGGCGCAUUGCACAGCCUUUUUUGGGUGUGUUCACGCCAUUUUACAGGAAGGAAGCUGAGGGCCUCCCCAACCCACAGUGACGUCCACAGCAAAACCAAGCGACAAGGGCGUCCCGCAGCCCUGAACGUGAGCAGGUGAGGAUGAACCAGCGCGAGCGAGGAAGCCCAGAGGGCGUCGCUGUCUGAGGUUGAGACCCAGGGGAAGGCAGGCAGCCUUGGCAACAGGCCUGCAGUGCCCGUGAGCCCCACCAAAGGGCAUGGCCCCCUGGGGCUGUCUGCAGCCGCC